rnacentral:rRNA from 1 species
CAGGAAUAUUGGUCAAUGGGCGCAAGCCUGAACCAGCCAUGCCGCGUGCAGGAAGACGGCCCUAUGGGUUGUAAACUGCUUUUGUCAGGGAAUAAACCCCCGUACGUGUACGGGGCUGAAGGUACCUGAAGAAUAAGCAUCGGCUAACUCCGUGCCAGCAGCCGCGGUAAUACGUAGGGGGCAAGCGUUAUCCGGAAUUACUGGGCGUAAAGGGUGCGUAGGCGGUUUAUCAAGUCGGGGGUGAAAGGCUACGGCUCAACCGUAGUGAGCCUCUGAAACUGGUGAACUUGAGUGUAGGAGAGGAAAGUGGAAUUCCCAGUGUAGCGGUGAAAUGCGUAGAUAUUGGGAGGAACACCAGUGGCGAAGGCGACUUUCUGGACUACAACUGACGCUGAGGCACGAAAGCGUGGGGAGCAAACA